GAGUUUUAACCUCCGGAACGCCGGGAGCGCGUCCAGGCAGAUUCUCUUACUCAGAAAGUUACACUCUUAAGACCACGAGAGCCGCGGCUUCAAAACUACUGCCUUUUUCUGCUCUAAAACUUACCAGGGGAGGAAGGUAGAAGUGACUUCUAUAUUCAGUAAGGAACGCGGCUUACGAACUCAAACUCCACCCGACGCCUUAAAAACGCAGAGGGCUCCGGGGAAAGUCCAGGUGCAUCUUUUUGUUCUCAACCUGAAAUGGAAGUUCCAAUGACCAUGGGCAAACGCUUUCUGUGGAAGCGGAGCCCCUGGAGACGAGCGUUUUGGCGGGAAGCAGGGCGGAGGGCAAGGUGACGCUGCUCCGCGGCCUUCGCCCGGUAGUCGACCGCGCCGCGCAGCGAGCGCCUGCCGGGCAGGAAGGUCCGCCCCGGGGCCUGCGCGGGCUCGGGCGGGAGCUUCCGGGCGGGGGCGGGGGAUGGGAGGCUCCUGCGCCUCGGAGGGUGGUGGAGGGGAAGACUCAGGGCGGGGAAGAGGGCUGAGCAAGAACUCGCGCAGGCCGAAGGGUGGAAAGGCUCCAAGAGGGAAACUUCUAGGUGACCAGGUAAAGUACGCUGCCUGGAGCCUGAGGCUCGGGCGGGAAGCGGGGCUCACCACGCCGAAAAGGGCGUUCGGGUCCGGAGUCCGGGAAGCUGCAGCCGCGUGAUCUACAGCGGCAGUCGGACUGGGGUCACGGGGUGCAGAGAAGGAAGUGCCCUGCCGGGCCCGCCAAUAUGUCACCAAUGAGAAAAGCGUGCCUGCAGGUGUGGCCCGCGAACAGUGGGUUUGGCCGGCGCCGGAAGUGGGGGAAGGAAAGGGGAAGACUUCUCGCCGAGUUCUGGGUAAAGGAGCCAGCCACCUGAGCAAAGUCCAGACUACAGCUACAGUUGGAAAGGGGAGCGCAAUGAGGCGUUGAAGACGCAGCAAAGUAAAACCGAAUCACCUAGCACUGGGAUGCUACAGGAUAAAGACCUGCCGACACCCAAUACUUGCUUUUUUUCUUUUGACCAUGGGCUCGAGGAUAUUUUCCAUGUUGAAACAUAAACUUUAAAAAACUAAAAACUUCCGCCAGACGUGGUGGCCGCACUUAAUCGCUCAGGGGGCUUAACGCAGGAGGAUCUAAAGCCGAUACCAGUGUAUAUAGUGUGUACGAGUU
rnacentral:lncRNA from 1 species